GGAUCAUUAACGCAUAACUACCAAUUAUCCAGGUUUGGAUUUUGGUCAGUCUCAGUCUCAGUCCGUCCAUGUCCUUGGUCCCGCGGCAGGCGUGCAUGAAGCGCUGUCGCGGGGCUGUGAACGCUACGUCUUUCGGGGUACCUAUCACUGUCCUCGAUGCGACCCACGGUGACGGCUUAGAGCCCGUGUGCUCGCCGGGUCGCGACGGUUCAAAGAGUGGCCGGCCGUGAGGCCGGCGACCGCCCCACUCUCGUCCUCGUCCUCGUCCUCGUCCUCGUCCUCGUCCACGUCGUCCCACAAACUGGCAGAAGUCAAACGGGAGGUUACGUCCGGGGUACCUAUGCCCUGCACGCGUGCUUGCAUGCAGGGUGGUAGCUCCAGCUCGUCACUUUGGCCGCGAGGUUCAAAGAGUCGGCCGUGCCAUUCACGCUCUCGAUGGCACCGGUCGCCGCCCCGGGCCUCCCACAAUUUUUCCUUUUACGAAACACAAAAUUAUUUUCAAAAACGCCGAUUAGGUCAGGCCACGACCAGUCGGCGGGUGCGAGUCAAAUAAAAAAGUCUAUAACUUUGAGCGGUGGAUCACUCGGCUCGUGCGUCGAUGA
rnacentral:misc_RNA from 1 species